rnacentral:rRNA from 1 species
CCUACGGGAGGCAGCAGUGGGGAAUAUUGCGCAAUGGGCGAAAGCCUGACGCAGCGACGCCGCGUGAGGGAUGCAGGUCUUCGGAUCGUAAACCUCUGUCAGCAGGGAAGAACGGUCACUGUGCUAAUCAGCAGUGAAUUGACGGUACCUGCACAGGAAGCACCGGCUAACUCCGUGCCAGCAGCCGCGGUAAUACGGAGGGUGCGAGCGUUAAUCGGAAUUACUGGGCGUAAAGCGAUCGAAGGCGGUAUGUCAAGUCAGGGGUGAAAUCCCCGCGCUCAACGGGGGAAGUGCCUUGGAAACUGGUAGACUGGAGUGCAGGAGAGGAUAGUGGAAUUCCAGGUGUAGCGGUGAAAUGCGUAGAUAUCUGGAGGAACAUCAGUGGCGAAGGCGACUAUCUGG